GGCCUCAUAAGUUACAAACCGAGUGUUCAGGUUCUCAUCCUGAAGACACGGGUUCGAUUCCCGUUGGGGGUA
rnacentral:tRNA from 1 species